UGUAAGCGUAUACCAAAGUUGUUGCAGUUAAAACGCUCGUAGUCGGAAUUUGGCAGUUCCGGAUGUGUGCACGUCGUGUGCGCACUUCGCGGGGAUUGCUUUUGUGGUCUUGCGUAGGAUGAGGCACUUUUAUUAGUGAACGUCCUCACGCAACCACUUUUUACUGUGAGAAAAUCAGAGUGCUCAAAGCAGGCAUUUGCCGUGAAUGUAUUAGCAUGGAAUAAUAGAAUAGGACUUGGUUCUAUUUUGUUGGUUUGUUGGGACUGAGUAAUGAUUAAGAGGGGCAGUUGGGGGCAUUUGUAUUUCGGUGCUAGAGGUGAAAUUCUUAGAUUACCGAAAGACAAACUGCUGCGAAAGCGUCUGCCAAGGAUGUUUUCAUUGA
rnacentral:rRNA from 1 species